GACGAACGCUGGCGGCGGGCUUAACACAUGCAAGUCGAACGGAAGGGCCCUACUUGUUUGGUGUUCUCGGGUGGCGAACGGGUGAGUAACACGUGAGUAACCGACCCUUGACUUUGGUGUAACUUCAGGAAACUAGGGCUAAUACCGUAUAGCAUCUCCUGCUGCAUGGUGGGGAUUGGAAAUUUUCGGCGGUUGGGGAUGGACUCGCGGCUUAUCAGCUUGUUGGUGGGGUAGUGGCUUACCAAGGCUUUGACGGGUAGCCGGCCUGAGAGGGUGACCGGGCACAUUGGGACUGAGGUAGGGACCAGACUCGUACGGGAGGCAGUAGUGGCGAAUCUUGCACAAUGGGAGGAAGUCUGAUGAAGAAACGCCGCGUGCGGGAUGACGGUCUUCGGGUUGUAAACAGCUUUCGCUUGUGACGAAGCGUGAGUGACGGUAAUGGGUAAAGAAGCACCGGCUAACUACGUG
rnacentral:rRNA from 1 species